rnacentral:rRNA from 1 species
GUCGAACGGUAGAGGGGGCAACCCCUCGAGAGUGGCGAACGGGUGAGUAAUAUAUCGGAACGUGCCCAGUCGUGGGGGAUAACGUAGCGAAAGUUACGCUAAUACCGCAUACGAUCUACGGAUGAAAGCGGGGGAUCGCAAGACCUCGCGCGAUUGGAGCGGCCGAUAUCAGAUUAGGUAGUUGGUGGGGUAAAGGCUCACCAAGCCAACGAUCUGUAGCUGGUCUGAGAGGACGACCAGCCACACUGGAACUGAGACACGGUCCAGACUCCUACGGGAGGCAGCAGUGGGGAAUUUUGGACAAUGGACGCAAGUCUGAUCCAGCCAUUCCGCGUGCAGGAUGAAGGCCCUCGGGUUGUAAACUGCUUUUGUACGGAACGAAAAGGUUUCCAUUAAUACUGGGAGCUCAUGACGGUACCGUAAGAAUAAGCACCGGCUAACUACGUGCCAGCAGCCGCGGUAAUACGUAGGGUGCAAGUGUUAAUCGGAAUUACUGGGCGUAAAGCGUGCGCAGGCGGUUAUGUAAGACAGAGGUGAAAUCCCCGGGCUCAACCUGGGAACUGCCUUUGUGACUGCAUAGCUAGAGUACGGUAGAGGGGGAUGGAAUUCCGCGUGUAGCAGUGAAAUGCGUAGAUAUGCGGAGGAACACCGAUGGCGAAGGCAAUCCCCUGGACCUGUACUGACGCUCAUGCACGAAAGCGUGGGGAGCAAACAGGAUUAGAUACCCUGGUAGUCCACGCCCUAAACGAU